CUACUUUAUUCGUAUUGUCACUUCCUCUCUUUUCAAGAAUAACUAUUGUUACAAGAAACUCAUCCACUCUACUGAUUAUUCUUCCUCGCAUCAUUUCAUAAGAUCAACAACACACCAUAUAAAGACCACCUAUUAUGAUUUGUGAUUUGAACAUAGGUGACAAUGUUUGGAAGAUCGCCAUUUGUGUGGUUGAUCUAUGGAUUGUUAAGGAGCGGAAUGGACAACAACAUGUUGAAUGUCUUAUCCAACAUUCAAAGGGGGACAAAAUCCAUGUCGUCACCCAGAACCGAGACUUUGAAAUGUGGAACCAAACCUUACAAGAACACUAAACAUAUAUGGUUUAUAAUGGUGACCCUACUAUGAAUGAUCUAGCUUUUAAAAUCUGUGACAAUCCCUUGAAGAUAUUUUUUCAUGGCGGAACUACUAUAACCAUGUUAGAUAUGUCGGAAAUACCAAUGCACAACUUUGAUUUCAAACCCAUUGUUAAUUUUUUGCACGGGGAUUUCCAAGUGAACCGGUUAUAUGAU